rnacentral:rRNA from 1 species
AGCGAACGCUGGCGGCAUGCUUUACACAUGCAAGUCGAACGGUAACAGGCCGCAAGGUGCUGACGAGUGGCGAACGGGUGAGUAAUGCAUCGGAACGUGCCCAGUCGUGGGGGAUAACGCAGCGAAAGCUGCGCUAAUACCGCAUACGAUCUCUGGAUGAAAGCGGGGGACCGAAAGGCCUCGCGCGAUUGGAGCGGCCGAUGUCAGAUUAGGUAGUUGGUGGGGUAAAGGCCCACCAAGCCAACGAUCUGUAGCUGGUCUGAGAGGACGACCAGCCACACUGGGACUGAGACACGGCCCAGACUCCUACGGGAGGCAGCAGUGGGGAAUUUUGGACAAUGGGCGCAAGCCUGAUCCAGCAAUGCCGCGUGCAGGAAGAAGGCCUUCGGGUUGUAAACUGCUUUUGUACGGAACGAAACGGCUCUGGUUAAUACCUGGGGCUAAUGACGGUACCGUAAGAAUAAGCACCGGCUAACUACGUGCCAGCCGCCGCAGUAAUAC